rnacentral:rRNA from 1 species
AUUGAACGCUAGCGGGAUGCCUUACACAUGCAAGUCGAACGGAGCGGCGAACGGGUGAGUAAUGCAUCGGAAUCUGCCUAGUAGCGGGGGAUAACUACCCGAAAGCGUCGCUAAUACCGCAUACUAUUGGAGCGGCCGAUAUCGGAUUAGCUAGUUGGUGGGGUAACGGCCCACCAAGGCGACGAUCCGUAGCUGGUUUGAGAGGAUGACCAGUCACACUGGGACUGUGACACGGCCCAGACUCCUACGGGAGGCAGCAGUGGGGAAUAUUGGACAAUGGGGGAAACCCUGAUCCAGCCAUACCGCGUGUGCGAAGAAGGCCUUCGGGUUGUAAAGCACUUUUGGUGGGGAGGCGGUACCAGCAGAAUAAGCACCGGCUAACUACGUGCCAGCAGCCGCGGUAAUAC